GAGUUUGAUCCUGGCUCAGGAUGAACGCUAGCGGCAGGCCUAAUACAUGCAAGUCGAACGGUUGGUAGCAAUACCAAUAGUGGCGCACGGGUGCGUAACGCGUAACCAACCUACCCGAAUCUGGGGGAUAGCCCGCCGAAAGGCGGAUUAAUACCGCAUAAAACUGCAGCCUGGCAUCAGGUAACAGUUAAAGAUUUAUUGGAUUCGGAUGGGGUUGCGUGCCAUUAGCUAGUUGGCGGGGUAACGGCCCACCAAGGCGACGAUGGCUAGGGGAGCUGAGAGGCUGGUCCCCCACACGGGCACUGAGAUACGGGCCCGACUCCUACGGGAGGCAGCAGUAGGGAAUAUUGGGCAAUGGUCGAGAGACUGACCCAGCCAUGCCGCGUGCAGGAUGAAGGCUUUCUGAGUCGUAAACUGCUUUUACCAGGGAAGAAAAAAGGGGAUGCGUCCUCUACUGACGGUACCUGGUGAAUAAGCACCGGCUAACUCCGUGCCAGCAGCCGCGGUAAUACGGAGGGGUGCAAGCGUUGUCCCGGAUUUAUUGGGUUUAAAGGGGUGCGUAAGCGGCUUGAUUAAGUCUGGGGUGGAAAGCCCCGU
rnacentral:rRNA from 1 species